UCCCUCUUAUCUCAGUGGUAGGACGCAUGACUCGUACAAUAAUGUAUGGACAUGAUGAGGUCAGUCGUUCAAUCUGGCAAGUGGGAA